GGUUGGAUUCUUUGUUGGAAAUCGUUAUUCUCUCGCUAUUUGUUGAGGAGAAACUUGUACUGUUACGUUAAAAAAUCUGUUUAUUGGAAAGGGAAAUAUUAAAGUGAAAAUAUACUAUUGGCUUAAUUGGUUUUGGGACGAUGAAUAUGGUGAAAAGUUUGAAUGCUAUUUAGGAUUCUUUAUUGUGGAUGAUGUAUUGAAGCGAGACAAUUUGUAUUAUCAGUAAAUUGGGUUUUGAACUUUCCAUAUUAGCAUUUAAAAUUGGACUUCGGACUUUCAUCAAUGUAAUUAUUUUGUAUUGUAUUUGAAAUAUAUCUUUUU